GGUCCAGUUGUUAGUCCAAUUACAGAUGGAGAUUAUAGAAGAGGAUGAUGUCUUUUCUCCAACAUCUUUCUAGACUGAUAAAAGAUCUAGACAGGCUCAAACAAAAGUUAACAGACAGAGGGGCUUAUAUAGAGAAUGGUGAGCAGCUACACAUGAAAGAAGAACAUGGAGAAUCUGCCCAGAGGUGUUAACCAGCAAUGCAGCUAUACAACUAAAGUGAUGCAGGCGGAAACAAUGUGUAAUGCAGCUGCUGCAGAUGAAGAAUCCGUCCGUCUAGCACUGAAGGAGACGCGGAAAAUCGGGAAAAGAUGUUCUUUGCCCGAGGAAGCAUUUGAUUAAUUUAAAGAUAUUGUGUUUCUUUGUAUGUUAUAGAAAAACGUUGCUUUUUUGCAUACACUCGUGUAAAUAUGCAUCUUAUGAAUGUUUUCCUUUGUCUAAUUUUAAUAAAUUUUACGCAAUCAA